rnacentral:tRNA from 1 species
GGGGCCAGCCUCGUGGGUUCGAUUCCUUCGC